rnacentral:rRNA from 1 species
GAUGAACGCUGGCGGCGUGCUUAACACAUGCAAGUCGAGCGAGUGAGUUCUUCGGAACGAUCUAGCGGCGGACGGGUGAGUAACCCGUGGGCAACCUGCCUCAUAGAGGGGAAUAGCCUCCCGAAAGGGAGAUUAAUACCGCAUAAAAUUAUCGAGUGGCAUCACAUGAUAAUCAAAGGAGUAAUCCGCUAUGAGAUGGGCCCGCGGCGCAUUAGCUAGUUGGUGAGGUAACGGCUCACCAAGGCGACGAUGCGUAGCCGACCUGCGAGGGGGAUCGGCCACAUUGGGACUGAGACACGGCCCAGACUCCUACGGGAGGCAGCAGUGGGGAAUAUUGCACAAUGGGGGAAACCCUGAUGCAGCAACGCCGCGUGAGUGAUGAAGGCCUUCGGAUUGUAAAGCUCUGUCUUUGGGGACGAUAAUGACGGUACCCAAGGAGGAAGCCACGGCUAACUACGUGCCAGCAGCCGCCGUAA